CGAAUGCUGACGUGAGUAACGACAAAACGGGUGAAAAACCCGUUCGCCGAAAGACCAAGGGUUCCAGUCCAACGUUAAUCGGGGCUGGGUGAGUCGACCCCUAAGGCGAGGCCGAAAGGCGUAGUCGAUGGGAAAAUGGUUAAUAUUCCAUUACUUCUGUGUAAUGCGAUGAGAGGACGGAGAAGGCUAAAUCAGCCUGGCGUUGGUUGUCCAGGUGAAAGGAUGUAGGCAUGUAUCUUAGGCAAAUCCGGGGUACUCUAUGCUGAGAUCUGAUAGCAAGCUGUACUUGUACAGCGAAGUGGUUGAUGCCAUGCUUCCAGGAAAAGUCUCUAAGCUUCAGUUACACAGGAAUCGUACCCGAAACCGACACAGGUGGUCAGGUCGAGUAGACCAAGGCGCUUGAGAGAACUCUGCUGAAGGAACUAGGCAAAAUGGUACCGUAACUUCGGGAGAAGGUACGCUGUUGUUGGUGAUGGAACUCGCUUCCUGAGCUGACGACAGCCGCAGAAACCAGGCCGCUGCAACUGUUUAUUAAAAACAUAGCACUCUGCAAACACGAAAGUGGACGUAUAGGGUGUGAUGCCUGCCCGGUGCUGGAAGGUUAAUUGAUGGGGUUAGCGUAAGCGAAGCUCUUGAUCGAAGCCCCAGUAAACGGCGGCCGUAACUAUAACGGUCCUAAGGUAGCGAAAUUCCUUGUCGGGUAAGUUCCGACCUGCACGAAUGGCAUAAUGAUGGCGGCGCUGUCUCCAGCAGAGGCUCAGUGAAAUCGAAAUCGCUGUGAAGAUGCAGUGUACCCGCGGCUAGACGGAAAGACCCCGUGAACCUUUACUGCAGCUUGACACUGAACUUUGACCUUACUUGUGUAGGAUAGGUGGGAGGCUUUGAAGCUGGAACGCUAGUUCCAGUGGAGCCGUCCUUGAAAUACCACCCUGGUAAUGUUGAGGUUCUAACUCUGUCCCGUGAUCCGGGACGAGGACCGUGUCUGGUGGGUAGUUUGACUGGGGCGGUCUCCUCCUAAAGAGUAACGGAGGAGUACGAAGGUGCGCUCAGCGUGGUCGGAAAUCACGCGUAGAGUAUAAAGGCAAAAGCGCGCUUAACUGCGAGACCCACAAGUCGAGCAGGUACGAAAGUAGGUCUUAGUGAUCCGGUGGUUCUGUAUGGAAGGGCCAUCGCUCAACGGAUAAAAGGUACUCUGGGGAUAACAGGCUGAUACCGCCCAAGAGUUCAUAUCGACGGCGGUGUUUGGCACCUCGAUGUCGGCUCAUCUCAUCCUGGGGCUGAAGCAGGUCCCAAGGGUAUGGCUGUUCGCCAUUUAAAGAGGUACGCGAGCUGGGUUUAGAACGUCGUGAGACAGUUCGGUCCCUAUCUACCGUGGGCGCUGGAAAUUUGAGAGGAUCUGCUCCUAGUACGAGAGGACCAGAGUGGACGAACCUCUGGUG
rnacentral:rRNA from 1 species